CGGGAACCCUCUCCCGGGGGGUGAUGGGAGGGGCCGGUUGGCUGGGGGAUUAUGGAAGUACCUCCAGGGCCAGGGGAGGAAGUAGAAGAGGACUUCUUCCCUUUUCCUGGGAAGAAACUCCUAGAGAUGGUCUUGCUGUGGAGAGAGUGGGUGGGGCUCUCAACCUGACCUGAGCGACAGCAACUUCUUUCUGGAAGCCAUCUCUGGGCUAGUUGCUGCUGCAGGAAGCUGUGGGGCCAGUCCUGAAGUUUACCUCACUUUACCUUAUUUGGACAACUGCUAAACCUGCAGGAAAGACAUGGUCAACUGAAUUAAAUGUGGCAUCUGUCAAAUAUAAAGAAGAAAAUCACAAUCAUCGGUCCUUCCGAAGUCCCCACUUUUUCCCACAAGAAAUGUUGUUCAUUUGGGGUGUUUACAAUGUUUUUAACUUUGCAGCUAGCAAACAAUAUAAUUGUAGGGUCUUGCGCAUUAAUUUGCCUGUACAUUGUUUUGUUUUUCUAAGAGUGAUGGAUUUGGGUCUGAGAUGUGGUUAAGACUGCAACUUUCCAUUAUGCAGCUGUUUCAGAGGGAAAGGUCUGUGUGUUCUGGAAGACCUGGGGAUUAUUUGUAUAUCUGCUUUAUGGGUUUGGGCUCUGUAAUGCUGCCAGUUAGAUGAAACUCUGUGUUUCCUCACUCACUGCUUCCUGCCCCAGCAACAUCCCACAACAUGCCUUUAGGGGGAGGUGGGUAUGAGAACUUUCUAUUAAUGAUGUGUGAUACUUUUGUAAUAUCUUUAUUGAUAGCAUUAUAUAGCUAUCAUAAUAAGUAAUGUGCUAAUAAAGUGUCAUCUUUGAUCCCCAGGGCAGCUGUUUGAGUUGGGAAGGGUUUAUUCCCCUCAGUUAACAGGAUAGGGAUGUGAGAGUUCGAC
ensembl:lncRNA